rnacentral:rRNA from 1 species
AGCAGCCGCGGUAAUUCCAGCUCCAAUAGCGUAUAUUAAAGUUGUUGCAGUUAAAAAGCUCGUAGUUGAAUUUCGAGAUCGGCUUACUGGUCGUGCUUUUGUACGUACUGGUAAAUCGGUUUCUCCUUUCUGACGAACUUUAAUGCCAUUAAUUUGGUGUUUUAGGGAAUCAGGACUGUUACUUUGAAAAAAUUUAGAGUGUUUAAAGCAGGCUCACGCUUGAAUACAUUAGCAUGGAAUAACGGAAUAGGACGUUUGAUUCUAUUUUGUUGGUUUCUAGGAUCGACGUAAUGAUUAAUAGGGAUAGUUGGGGGCAUUAGUAUUCAAUUGUCAGAGGUGAAAUUCUUGGAUUUAUUGAAGACUAACUACUGCGAAAGCAUUUGCCAAGGAUGUUUUCAUUAAUCAAGAACGAAAGUUAGGGGAUCGAAGACGAUCAGAUACCGUCGUAGUCUUAACCAUAAACUAUGCCGACUAGGGAUCGGAUGAUGUUAAUUUUUUUAAUGACUCAUUCGGCGCCUUA